UACGGAGGGUGCAAGCGUUAUCCGGAUUCACUGGGUUUAAAGGGUGCGUAGGUGGGCAGGUAAGUCAGUGGUGAAAUCUCCGAGCUUAACUCGGAAACUGCCGUUGAUACUAUUUGUCUUGAAUAUUGUGGAGGUAAGCGGAAUAUGUCAUGUAGCGGUGAAAUGCUUAGAUAUGACAUAGAACACCGGUGGCGAAGGCGGCUCACUGGCUCAUUUCUGACGCUCAGGCGCGACAGCGUGGGGAUCAAACAGG
rnacentral:rRNA from 1 species